rnacentral:rRNA from 1 species
AGUGAACGCUGGCGGUAGGCCUAACACAUGCAAGUCGAACGGCAGCACAGUAAGAGCUUGCUCUUACGGGUGGCGAGUGGCGGACGGGUGAGGAAUACAUCGGAACCUACUUUUUCGUGGGGGAUAACGUAGGGAAACUUACGCUAAUACCGCAUACGACCUACGGGUGAAAGCAGGGGAUCUUCGGACCUUGCGCGAUUGAAUGAGCCGAUGUCGGAUUAGCUAGUUGGCGGGGUAAAGGCUCACCAAGGCGACGAUCCGUAGCUGGUCUGAGAGGAUGAUCAGCCACACUGGAACUGAGACACGGUCCAGACUCCUACGGGAGGCAGCAGUGGGGAAUAUUGGACAAUGGGCGCAAGCCUGAUCCAGCCAUACCGCGUGGGUGAAGAAGGCCUUCGGGUUGUAAAGCCCUUUUGUUGGGAAAGAAAAGCAGCAGGUUAAUACCCCGCUGUUCUGACGGUACCCAAAGAAUAAGCACCGGCUAACUUCGUG